rnacentral:lncRNA from 12 species
GGACCAGUCCCAGAACAGACCCUUCUGGGGAAUGUGCAAGAUUUGAGCAAUUUGGGUCGGCUCAGUUAACACUGUCCUGUACACUAUCCUGUAUACUUUCCUCUGAUAAAGCCCAAGACAUAAUCUGGCCCCACCCAGAUGCAGAUGAGUCGGGGAAGAGUACACAUCAGAAACAAGGAAACUAAAGAAGAAAAGAAGAGAGUCAAAAUGGUGUUUCACAGACAGGACUUCUGUCCAUGACUGUCACACCCCCAGUUUGCUUGCCCGAGGUAUAAGCAUCAGUCUUCCCGGAUCAGAGCUAAAAAGACACGAACGUUCCAAAUUUUGGAGAAGUGACAGAAGAUUGCAUCUUCUGAGAGAAGCAAAGGAAACAAUAAAUUGGUGAUCUCCAG